GUAUAUAUAUAUGGAUAUCUAAGUAGAUAUAGGAUAUAUGAAUAUAGAUGAUAGUAACCAAUUUUUUUUGCCUUGGUUUAAAAUAGUUUACACUAUCAUCAGCUUUUUAUCUAUGUUGCUAUGAAAUCUGAAUAAUCAUUAUUUUCAAAGGCUGGAUGAUAUUUCAGGAACAAUGACCUUUUUAAAAAAUGUGGUAAAAUACACAUAAUAUAAAAUUUACAGUUAAUAAUUUAAAUGUACAGUUCAGCAGCAUUGAGUACAUUCACAUUGAUGCUUUUAUCACCACUAUCCACCUACUUUUUGUAUUGCAAAACUGAAACUCUGUACCCAUUAAACAAUAACUUCUCUUCCCCAAGCCAUGGUAGCCAUACAUUCUACUUUCUGUUAGCUACAACUUGAUGGGAAUCUGAUUGUGGUCCAACUGUUCUUUCCUAGCUGUUAUUGGAAAUAGAUAAAAAAUUAGGGGCAUGGUCAACAUGUAUUUCUUAAUAUCCCAAGUAUUUUAAUUUGCUGAAUCUAUUGCAUCUUGUCUUCACUGGAUAAUAGACUUGUUAUGAUAGUGCUCAAAGGCAAUAAAAUGCAGUGGUCCCUCAUCCCAACAGCUGCUCAGGAGUCCCUUAAGAAUUUACUUUUGAGGCCCUGGGUGGAGACUAGGGUUGGGGGGCAGGGUAAUGGAGAGGUGGUUUGGGUACAGAAAAAAAGAGGGUGAGUGAGCUGACCCUGUCCCAAACUAGAUAAACUCUGUUUUUCUUUUCCCUAUUUCACAGAUUUGGAUUUCAUACAAGUUAUAAUUUGAAAAAAGAUUAUGAGGCAAAAUGAAAGAGAAGGAGGAGAAGGAAAAAAUAAACUACUGGUUCAAUCUCCACAGAGAAACAACCUCUUUAGAAGGCAUAUGGUAUUUCAUCUGCUACAGAAGUAGAUGUAGUAAAUUUUAAACAAAGCAGCAGAGUUACUCAUACCUAGGUUUUCAUUACAGGCCUCUUUUAAAGAUAACAUCUUUGUAAGGGAAGUGGGUGGUGUGGCUGGUCCUCAUGAGUGUUUGAUUUGUCGUUCAAAUCGGUUUUUUCAGAGCCAGCAGUAGGCAUUUAUAGCAACAACAGGGUCUUGACCUGUCUCUUGGAUACCGAGUACAGAUAUCUUCAGGUCAAAGAGAAGACGCAGUGACACUUGGUUUCGUGGUUGGCUCCCAGAUUAGACUUAAAAGGAAGGGAGAAGAGCUAGUCCUUGUAACCCUUCAUCUGUGGAUAAGCAUAGCCCCAUUAGCUGUGAAUCUCUGAUCUCUUGGCUAGAUGCCAUAUAAUAGGUCUCUGUCAGCAUGCAGACAUAGUAGUGACAUGACAUGACAUUUUUCAAUUAAAAAUUUUUGUCACUGAUUUCAUU